UAGCGUAUGCCUAUCCGCCACAUUUAAGUCUUCUCUUCGUUUUUACGGUGAAUUUUAAGACCAAUCAGAGGCUGUUGCUAGGCGAACCGGAAUGGCCUGGCCAAUCAGCGUUUUUCUGCAAAUGUUAGCUGACGUAUGUCGUCAUUGGUCGCGACGUGUCUCCUGAUUGGCCAUGGCCCUCUGGGGAGGAGCGCAGAGAGGUGGAGUCGGAAAACAGAUUUAAGCCAAGUUUGAACCGUUGCUUCUGUUUGCUAGUACUGAAGUGAAAAACGUCCUUAUCAGAUCUGGAUGCUUUAACAAACGCUAGAGCUGCUUUUUUUUAUCGUUAAUGAAGAGGUCUGGAUGCUAAAAAAAACUCUGGAGCUGGUUUUUGUCGAACACGAGUGAGAAUGGACGCUGAACACACCUGCGGCGCGAAGGUAAGGCAAGUAGUUAGCGGCUAGCGUUAGCAUUAACGUUAUCGGAGAGCGUUAGCGUUAGCAUUUCAGUGUAACUAAUUUUUAAAAUUCCAUUUUCAGUCAUUUUUAUCGAGUGGGUAAGAGUGUGUUUGUGUUUCUGUGACUAAAGCGUCCCUGACAUGAGUUUUGGAGGGUGAUAACUGUUUAGUAGUCUGUUUGUCUGUUUACAACUCAGUUUGCAUCUCUUUACAGUUACUUUGCAGACUUUGUGCUCCAGUUUAUGGCGGAUUAUCAUAUCGAUGUGAUCAUUUUAUGUUUCUUUGAGGUGGUAUUGCAUUGUUUUGCGUCUUUAGCAUCUUUAUAUCUAUUUAUGGUCAGUUUCUUUGUGGUUGUUUUGCAUCGCGUUGUGUCUGUAGUUUUGUGACUAUUCCAGGUGAUUUAACGUUUAUAUUUGUGGCCAUUUUGUGUUUCAGUGUGGCAGUUGAACAUCUCAUAGUGAUCAUUUUGCGACUCAGUUUUUCUGGGUUUUUGCGUCGUUUUGUGUGUGUUUUGUAGUUUUGCGGUUGUAAUCUGGCCAUAGCCGAACGCAUGUUGUGCAUAUUAUUGAUGAGAACUUUCUCUGUGGUGCCUUGAGAUUUUAUUGAGCUUAGUUUUGUGUUAAAUACAAACUUGAAAACUAGAUUUUAACUCUGUGCUCCUCCACAAGUUCUAAGCCUCAAGAGUAGGUCACAGUGUAUGAGCUGAGAUUAGAAAUAGUUAUAAAAAGCUAUUUUUAAAAUUGCUUUUUUUCCUGUGUGAUCAAUAAAGUCAUUCUAGUGACAUAAUUUAGUCUAGGGCUGCAGCUAAAGAUUGUUUUUCCCAUUAGUCAACGAUUAUUUCUGUCACAACCUCCAUCUCUGCUUCCUGUGGGCGCAGCACCUGCUCUGGGCUCCACCUUAUACCUCACCUGCUGAAGUCUGCACACUUGAACGCGGAUGCGGGGUUGAGGGUUUGUUGUCUGUAAUGUUACAUAUGGAUGUCGGAGGAGAGGACUAGAGCUACCCUCUCCCUGCCAGCACAGCCACUGUGAGCAGAUAGCGAAGUGCACCUGUGAUUUUUCAGAGACCUACAACACUUGUAGGAGCUUUUCUUGCUUUUCUUGUCUUUGACGUUGUUGUCAACCCGUCGUCUCUGCAGCUCUUCCACGGACACGAAAAACAGGAAGCAGGGAAAGAAACGUGAACGAUUCAAACUUCAACCAUUAAAGCACAGAGAGAAGAGACAGACGUGAAGACAUUUCCAGAAGGUCUUCAGCUGCUGUCGUCUUCUCCUCCUGCAGAGACAAGAACACCUGUUAAUCACAGAAACUGAUCAGUAAAUCAAAAUAUUUUUAUGACAUACUAUUCUGACAUUUUUUGAUGUUUUUCUUCCUUACUAAAGACAAUGUAAGGAAUGCCUUACUAUAUUAUGACAUUUUUUCUUGUGUUUUGACACCUUACUACACUGACCUCUUUUUUUUUUUGAAUGCCCUACUAAACUGUGACAUGCAGCUUAAGACAAAGGAACUAUCUUAAAGUAGCCAUCCUACCUUUGUUUUCCACAGACACACAUACACCUCUACACAGUGUUUGUGGGUUAGAUUAGAUUUUCAUUUUGGUAAUGACAAUUGCAAUAUAAGUACUUAAAUCCAAUCUAUUACUGUGUAUGUAGUCCUGGUUAUACUGUUCAUAUUGUGUAUAAUUUUUAUAUAUUAUUGUAUGUUAUCUUGUUUUAUAUUUUGUAUAUAUAAGGCCGUUUUAUAUUUUUGUUGUUGCAACACUGAAUUUCCCCAUUGUGGGACUGAUAAAGGAUUAUCUUACUCAAAUAAAUA